rnacentral:rRNA from 1 species
UACAGAGGGUGCAAGCGUUAAUCGGAAUGACUGGGCGUAAAGGGCGCGUAGGUGGGUGAAUGAGUUUGACGUGAAAUCCCUGGGCUUAACCUAGGAAUGGCGUUGAAUACGAUUGAUCUAGAGUCGAGUAGAGGAGGGUAGAAUUUCCGGUGUAGCGGUGAAAUGCGUAGAUAUCGGAAGGAAUACCGGUGGCGAAGGCGGCCCUCUGGACUCAGACUGACACUGAGACGCGAAAGCGUGGGGAGCAAACAGG